AUGCAUGCCUGGCCGCGGGCUGCAAAGCCAGGGUCUUGGUCAGGCCUCCACUGUGCAGACAAGGUGCCCACCUGGGUGAGAGUGCGCCAGAGCCCAUCUCCGAGGGAGGACGGGCAGGCCUCAGGCAGAACAUGCUGGGGCCCUUGGGUGGGAGAUGCAUGGGAAGCAGGAAAGGGAUGGGAAGAGACACAUGCGUACAUUGCCUGGGGAGCAGGCAGCCUCUGCAGCCUUUGGGAUAGUCUUGUUGAGAAAGGCGGGAUGACUCUGCACGUCCUGACCUUGCCCACCCCUUCCAUGUUGUGCCCAGGUCCUUCUGCCGGGAACAUCUCCCGGAGCAAAGAGUGCAGGCACAGCUGGAUGGGGAGACCUUCUGCCUCAUUUGUCUGGAGCCCGUGGAGGAAAAGCUCUCCCACCACACUCUGGUGUGCCCUGCGUGUACGCACGCAUGGUUCCACCAGGGCUGCAUCCAGGCCAUGGCAGCUGCUGCUUUGCUCCUCCUGUGCUGCCAAAGGCACGCACCACCGCUGCUCCGCCUUGAGGCCCACCACAGCCACAUGGGAGUGUGUUGACUGUGCGGGCCUGGGCACUGCCUCCAGCGCGCAGUCGGGGACGGCCAGCUCCAGCACCAGCAGCCAAGCAGCAUCGUCUCCCAGCUCCCAGGCUCCUGCGAGCAGCAGACGGUCAGGCCAGACAGGGCCAGAGUGA
rnacentral:lncRNA from 1 species